rnacentral:rRNA from 1 species
UACGGGGGGGAGCAAGCGUUGUUCGGAUUUACUGGGCGUAAAGGGCGCGUAGGCGGCCACCGCAAGUCGACUGUGAAAUCUCCGGGCUUAACCCGGAAAGGUCAGCCGAUACUGCGGGGCUAGAGUGCAGAAGGGGCAACUGGAAUUCUCGGUGUAGCGGUGAAAUGCGUAGAUAUCAGGAGGAACACCGGUGGCGAAGGCGGAUCUCUGGGCCUUACCUGACGCUGAGGCGCGAAAGCUAGGGGGAGCGAACAGG